rnacentral:misc_RNA from 1 species
GAUGAAGAACGUAGCGAAAUGCGAUACGUAAUGUGAAUUGCAGAAUUCAGUGAAUCAUCGAAUCUUUGAACGCACAUUGCGCCCGCCAGUAUUCUGGCGGGCAUGCCUGUCCGAGCGUCAUUUCAACCAUCAAGCCCCGGGCUUGUGUUGGGGACCUGCGUCCGACGCAGGCCCUGAAAACCAGUGGCGGGCUCGCUGUCCACACCGAGCGUAGUAACUAACCUCGCUAUGGAGUGGCGCGGGCGCCUGCCGUAAAACCCCCAAUUUCACAAGGUUGACCUCGGAUCAGGUAGGAAUACCCGCUGAACUUAAGCAUAUCAAUAAGCGGAGGA